UACGGGGGGGGUAAGCGUUGUUCGGAAUUACUGGGCGUAAAGGGCUCGUAGGCGGCCAACUAAGUCAGACGUGAAAUCCCUCGGCUUAACCGGGGAACCGCGUCUGAUACUGGAUGGCUUGAGUUUGGGAGAGGGAUGCGGAAUUCCAGGUGUAGCGGUGAAAUGCGUAGAUAUCUGGAGGAACACCGGUGGCGAAGGCGGCGUUCUGGACUGUUUCUGACACUGAAAAACGAAAGCCAGGGGAGCAAACGGG
rnacentral:rRNA from 1 species